GAGUUUGAUUAUGGCUCAGGAUGAACGCUGGCGGCGUGCUUAACACAUGCAAGUCGAACGGAACAUAACCGAGGAAAUUUUUCGAAGUGGAAUCGGUUACGUUUAGUGGCGGACGGGUGAGUAACGCGUGGAUAAUCUGCCUUACACAGCGGGAUAACAAAUGGAAACAGUUGCUAAUACCGCAUAAGCACACAGUAUCGCAUGAUACAGGGUGAAAAGAUUUAUCGGUGUAAGAUGAGUCCGCGUCCCAUUAGCUAGUCGGUGAGGUAAAAGCUUACCAAGGCGACGAUGGGUAGCCGGCCUGAGAGGGUGAACGGCCACAUUGGGACUGAGACACGGCCCAGACUCCUACGGGAGGCAGCAGUGGGGGAUAUUGCACAAUGGGCGUAAGCCUGAUGCAGCGACGCCGCGUGAAGGAAGAAGUAUUUCGGUAUGUAAACUUCUAUCAGCAGGGAAGAAAAUGACG
rnacentral:rRNA from 1 species